AUCCGGGAUAGCUCAGUUGGUAGAGCAUGAGACUCUUAAUUUCAGGGUUGUGGGUUUGAGCCCUAUACUGGGUG
rnacentral:tRNA from 1 species